rnacentral:rRNA from 1 species
AACGAACGCUGGCGGCAGGCUUAACACAUGCAAGUCGAACGCAUCCUUCGGGGUGAGUGGCAGACGGGUGAGUAACGCGUGGGAACGUGCCCUUCAGUUCGGGAUAACCCAGGGAAACUUGGGCUAAUACCGGAUACGUGCGAGAGCAGAAAGAUUUAUCGCUGAAGGAUCGGCCCGCGUCUGAUUAGCUAGUUGGUGGGGUAAUGGCCCACCAAGGCGACGAUCAGUAGCUGGUCUGAGAGGAUGAUCAGCCACAUUGGGAGUGAGACACGGCCCAAACUCCUACGGGAGGCAGCGGUGGGGGAUAUUGGAAAAUGGGCGCAAGCCUGAUCCAGCCAUGCCGCGUGAGUGAUGAAGGCCUUAGGGUUGUAAAGCUCUUUCGUCCGGGACGAUAAUGACGGUACCGGGAGAAGAAGCCCCGGCUAACUUCGUGCCAGCCGCCGCCGUAA